UAUUUAUCAGUUAAUUACAAUAUGCAGAUUCUGUUCCUGGGGGUGAUUUGUCUUUUUGGAAAUAUAGGAAAAGAUCCUGGAAACUUGUAUCCUAAUUGCUUGGCCUAUUAUUGUAACAACCAGAUGCUGGAGGAGGCAAUUCCUUCACUUUUAUUGGAAUCUGAAGAGCAUCCUUUUCCCUCCUUACAAGAAGCUUGAUAUUAAUAACCACCAUUUAUCAAGCUCCUGCUGAAUGCUUGGAUCCAUGCAAAUAAAAUUUAAUCUGAUCCACACAACUGUUCCAUAAGGUGCAGCUGGGGGAGCUGCCUCGCCCUCCCCAUCGCAUUUCCGGAGGACGGGAAAGGCAGGAAGAGGGGAUGAAGAGAACUAUCUCAGUGCAGAGGGAGAUUGCCGUAGGAGCCCUCAGAGGGUGGCAGAAGACCUCUCCAACUCUAUGCAGGAAAGGAAACAGGAAGCACCCCUUCUAGUGUGGAUGCCCUUAGUUCCAGCUUCUGAAUUAGAGAGGCUGACCUCCUGAGAAGACAUCUGCUGCUGCUGCUGCUAAGUCACUUCUACAUGGCAUCAAUUAUGGUGAAAGUGACCCCAAGAGAAAGAACUUCCACUCCCGUUCUCCCUCCAGAAGUGGCAUCCUUCAUCUCUGUCUGUCCAAGCCAAUUAUACAGAUCCUUGGAGUUCCAACAGGGUCUGAGUCAUUGGAACCGAGAACACCUGGCUGAAACAUGCCUUGUAAUUAGAAAGGAUUUUUUCUUUACCGUUUCUUUCUUUCUUUUUAAAAGAGGGCUGGAAUGACCGUCCUUGACUAGGGCGGAGAAGCUGGGGUGAGGAAAGGGAAGACCAUCACCAGGGCCCAGCUUGCGGCCCUUUGCAGACAGAUCUCCCCAAGUCAGACUUGCUUCCUUUCCUCGGCCUUUCGGCUGCCUCCUCCUCCUCCUCCGUUCGUUUGGUCCUUCCCCCACUGUCUUCUCCUCUGUUUAAUUAAAGUUCAGCGACU